rnacentral:rRNA from 1 species
UACAGAGGUGGCAAGCGUUGUUCGGAAUUACUGGGCGUAAAGGGCGCGUAGGCGGCCCGUCAAGUCCCGUGUGAAAGCCCCCGGCUCAACCGGGGAACGGCGCGGGAAACUAGCAGGCUUGAGUUCGGGAGAGGGAAGCGGAAUUCCGGGUGUAGCGGUGAAAUGCGCAGAUAUCCGGAGGAACACCGGUGGCGAAGGCGGCUUCCUGGACCGGCACUGACGCUGAGGCGCGAAAGCUAGGGGAGCAAACGGG